CAGAUAGUAGUUUAUUCAAAACAUGAAACUUGGAGAUUCAAGAAUAUAGUCUGA
rnacentral:tRNA from 1 species